CCUACGGGAGGCAGCAGUGAGGAAUAUUGGUCAAUGGACGCAAGUCUGAACCAGCCAUGCCGCGUGCAGGAAGACGGUUCUAUGAGUUGUAAACUGCUUUUGUACGAGGGUAAACUCAGAUACGCGUAUCUGUCUGAAAGUAUCGUACGAAUAAGCAUCGGCUAACUCCGUGCCAGCAGCCGCGGUAAUACGGAGGAUUCAAGCGUUAUCCGGAUUUAUUGGGUUUAAAGGGUGCGUAGGCGGUCGGAUAAGUUAGAGGUGAAAUCCCGAGGCUCAACUUCGGAAUUGCCUCUGAUACUGUUCGGCUAGAGAGGAGGUGCGGUAGGCGGAAUGUAUGGUGUAGCGGUGAAAUGCUUAGAGAUCACACAGAACACCGAUUGCGAAGGCAGCAUACCAAGCUACAUCUGACGUUGAGGCACGAAAGCGUGGGGAGCAAACAGGAUUAGAUACCCCUGUAGUC
rnacentral:rRNA from 1 species